rnacentral:rRNA from 1 species
UACGUAGGUGGCAAGCGUUGUCCGGAUUUACUGGGCGUAAAGAGCGCGCAGGCGGUCGUACAAGUCGCGUGUGAAAGCCCCCGGCUCAACUGGGGAGGGUCACGCGAUACUGUUCGACUCGAAGGCAGGAGAGGGAAGCAGAAUUCCCGGUGUAGUGGUGAAAUGCGUAGAUAUCGGGAGGAAUACCAGUGGCGAAGGCGGCUUCCUGGCCUGUUCUUGACGCUGAGGCGCGAAAGCUAGGGGAGCAAACAGG